rnacentral:rRNA from 1 species
UGAGGAAUAUUGGACAAUGGGCGCAAGCCUGAUCCAGCCAUGCCGCGUGCAGGAUGAAGCAUCUAUGGUGUGUAAACUGCUUUUAUACGGGAAGAAACCCUGCCACGUGUGGCAGAUUGACGGUACCGUAAGAAUAAGGACCGGCUAACUCCGUGCCAGCAGCCGCGGUAAUACGGAGGGUCCAAGCGUUAUCCGGAAUCAUUGGGUUUAAAGGGUCCGUAGGCGGUCUUAUAAGUCAGUGGUGAAAUCU